rnacentral:rRNA from 1 species
GACGAACGCUGGCGGCGUGCUUAACACAUGCAAGUCGAACGGAAAGGCCCUGCUUUUGUGGGGUGCUCGAGUGGCGAACGGGUGAGUAACACGUGAGUAACCUGCCCUUGACUUUGGGAUAACUUCAGGAAACUGGGGCUAAUACCGGAUAGGAGCUCCUGCUGCAUGGUGGGGGUUGGAAAGUUUCGGCGGUUGGGGAUGGACUCGCGGCUUAUCAGCUUGGUGGUGGGGUAGUGGCUUACCAAGGCUUUGACGGGUAGCCGACCUGAGAGGGUGACCGGCCACAUUGGGACUGACAUACGGCCCAGAAUCCUACGGGACGCAGCAGUGGGGAAUAUUGCACAAUGGGCGCAAGCCUCAUCCAGCAACGCCGCGUGCGGGAUGACGGCCUUCGAGUUGCAAACCGCUUUCGCCUGUGACGAAGCGUGAGUGACGGUAAUGUGUAAAGAAGCACCGGCUAACUACGUG